CGAGAUUUAAGGUAUGAAGAAAUAUCAAUAAGAAUUGUUAAUUAGAAAUUUCAAGCCCUCCAAAACAAAGUGAUCCCACUAGUAAAAGUACAAUGGUGAAAUCACUCGAUUGAAAAGGCCGCGUGGGAGCAACAGGUGGAGAUGCGGGCAGAGUAUCCACAACUUUUUGAUGAAUUUCAAGGUAAAUUUCGAUAAUGAAAUUUAUUUUUAGGAGGGUAGAUUAUAAUACCCACACCCGAAUUUUCAGGUCUAAUUAUUAAAAUUGAAAAUUUAGGCGCUCAUUUGAGGAUUAAUCCUCCUUCUAAGACCUUAUAGCAAACUUACUAUAAAUGUUAAUUCCCACAUGUUUUUGUUUUCUUAGUCAAACACUUAUAUACAAAAUUCUUGAUAGAUGCUUGAUUGACCAAACAUAAGGUAAUGUAUAGUAUGAAUGCAUGAAUGUAGGAAUGAGGUAGAGAUUCUGGCUUAUUUCACAAAUUUCAAGGAACAAUUUCCACCAUCAUGAAUUUUUCCUUAAUGAUGCAUGCCUAGUCUUGUCCUAUUUAAACAAUUUCCACCAUCAUGAAUUUUUCCUUAAUGAUGCAUGCCUAGUCUUGUCCUAUUUAAACCCUCAUUCACAUUUACAUGCUACCACUCACUAUUUUAUUUUUUAGUCUAAAUAAUAUACACAUAUACACAUUCACAAGCCGAGGUGGAAAUUGUAGAGGGAUCAAGUUUUUGUUACUCUUUUUUUCAUAUUUAACUGUAAGUACGCUACCUAUGUUGAAUUAUCAUUAUGUUAUAAAUUUCAAGAAAAUUAUUAUGGGUCCCAUGUGGUAUAUGAUAUGAUUACGUUAAAGGGACCGAAGUUUAGAAGCGCUACACAUAAGAAUUCUUACUAUCUAUGCUCAAUAAAAUUCUUGCGUCUCCAUUAUGUUGAUUAUUAUUAUUAUGCUCCUUUAAGUUAUACACGAUAAUAAUUCAUGGCAUAUUUAUUAAGAUUUUAUAAAUCUCUCUAUAAUAUUUCCCCCUUUCAAGUAACUAAUGGUUAAGGCAAUCAACGUGAAGAUGACAAUGGGCUAGGUUUAAUAAAUUAUCUUGUGUUUAAAAUGCAACUUUAAAUUUCUAGUUUA
rnacentral:lncRNA from 1 species